rnacentral:rRNA from 1 species
GUGUCAGCCGCCGCGGUAAUACGGAGGGUGCAAGCGUUAAUCGGAAUUACUGGGCGUAAAGCGUGUGUAGGCGGUCUAUUAAGUCGGAUGUGAAAGCCCCGGGCUUAACCUGGGAAUUGCAUUCGAAACUGGUAGGCUUGAAUUUGGUAGAGGGAAGUGGAAUUCCGGGUGUAGCGGUGAAAUGCGUAGAUAUCCGGAGGAACACCAGUGGCGAAGGCGGCUUCCUGGACCAAAAUUGACGCUGAGGCACGAAAGCGUGGGUAGCUAACAGGAUUAGAUACCCUGGUAGUCCACGCCCUAAACGAUGUCGACUGGCUGUCGGGUUCAUUUGGAACUUGGUAGCGAAGCUAACGCGUUAAGUCGACCGCCUGGGGAGUACGGCCGCAAGGUUGAAACUUAAAGGAAUUGGCGGGG